rnacentral:pre_miRNA from 1 species
GAGAUAAGAAGCAGUCAGGCUCGCCAAGGAACUUGCCUACGAAGCAUUAGAGGGGUCUUAAAGCAUUGCAGAGCUAUUCUUCUGAGACCCCUUUGAGGACAUAGGCAAGUCAUCCUUGGCGACCAAACAAACUCUUACCU